UACAGAGGGUGCGAGCGUUAAUCGGAAUUACUGGGCGUAAAGCGUGCGUAGACGGUUAUUUAAGUCGGGUGUGAAAGCCCCCGGCUCAACUGGGGAGGGUCACGCGAUACUGAUCGACUCGAAGGCAGGAGAGGGUAGUGGAAUUCCCGGUGUAGUGGUGAAAUGCGUAGAUAUCGGGAGGAACACCAGUGGCGAAGGCGACUACCUGGCCUGUUCUUGACGCUGAGGCGCGAAAGCUAGGGGAGCAAACGGG
rnacentral:rRNA from 1 species